rnacentral:rRNA from 1 species
UUAACAGUAGAGCAUUUCACUCGCAACCCCUGUGACAUACCAAUUGUUGCCUCGGCGGAUCAGCCCGCUCCCGGUAAAACGGAACGGCCCGCCAGAGGACCCCUAAACUCUGUUUCUAUAUGUAACUUCUGAGUAAAACCAUAAAUAAAUCAAAACUUUCAACAACGGAUCUCUUGGUUCUGGCAUCGAUGAAGAACGCAGCAAAAUGCGAUAAGUAAUGUGAAUUGCAGAAUUCAGUGAAUCAUCGAAUCUUUGAACGCACAUUGCGCCCGCCAGUAUUCUGGCGGGCAUGCCUGUUCGAGCGUCAUUUCAACCCUCAAGCCCCCGGGUUUGGUGUUGGGGAUCGGCGAGCCUCACGGCAAGCCGGCCCCGAAAUACAGUGGCGGUCUCGCUGCAGCUUCCAUUGCGUAGUAGUAAAACCCUCGCAACUGGUACGCGGCGCGGCCAAGCCGUUAAACCCCCAACUUCUGAAUGUUGACCUCGGAUCAGGUAGGAAUACCCGCUGAACUUAAGCAUAUCAAAGCGGGGAGGAAACUCAUUGCCGAGUUUCCCACUCUCGCCCCUGUGAACAGACGUGGGGAAGCCCGACAGAACUAUCAAUACGCAAGAGUACCGCCGCAAGCUCACCCAAGCGCUCUCCUGAUA